rnacentral:rRNA from 1 species
UACGUAGGUGGCGAGCGUUGUCCGGAUUUACUGGGCGUAAAGGGAGCGUAGGCGGACUUUUAAGUGAGAUGUGAAAUACUCGGGCUCAACUUGAGUGCUGCAUUUCAAACUGGAAGUCUAGAGUGCAGGAGAGGAGAAUGGAAUUCCUAGUGUAGCGGUGAAAUGCGUAGAGAUUAGGAAGAACACCAGUGGCGAAGGCGAUUCUCUGGACUGUAACUGACGCUGAAGCUCGAAAGCGUGGGGAGCAAACAGG